rnacentral:rRNA from 1 species
ACCUGAUCCCAUGCCGAACUCAGUAGUGAAACGAAGCAGCGCCGAUGGUAGUGUGGGGUCUCCCCAUGUGAGAGUAGGACAUCGCCAGGC